AGCUCUGGCCUGAGUUGGAAGAACGGUGUAGGGUGGUGAUAGCGGCAGUCCGACCACCAUCGAGGAAAAGAAAGGGAACAGGAGGUUUGGUCCAUUGUGACAGUUUUUAUCACCAUACUUCUUAAUGUGAUGCUGUAAGUUGCUCAGGCUUUGAGUGAAGGGUGGACUAUAUGCCUUUGGGUCAAUACCACUCACAAGAGAAAAUACAUCGUAAGCCCCUGCUCAGACACAAAACAAUGCAUUUCUUCAGAAAGGGCGAAGGCAUGAAAGAAAGCUAAGAUAAGGAUACAGACAGUUUCUGGGCAUAAACAGAAUCCAGUAUAUGGGACAAGCCUCCGCUUAUCCUUCUGACAACUACCAGUGAUGGACUACAAACCCUUGUGUGUUAAGACAUUCUCGUGAAAUCCCUCCAUGGAUUUAUGCAGAGGUAUUCACAGUGCAGAGCUCCCAGGGACAGCUCUGUGCUGUGAGGGUGCCCUCCUUGCCUUGCAGUAAUGGAGCAGACUGCAGUCAUCAUUUUCCCAGCACCUUCUGAAAACUGGUUUUCCUGGGAUUUUUCCUAGGUUCUGCUGACUAGAGUGGAAUUAGAAGAAGUAGGUGAGAAAUCUCCUGAACCGUUCAGUAUUUUUGCUGAUUUUUUUUUUUCAGUGCAAUAACCUAACUUCAACUCUUUAUAAAAAAGUAUGUAAAAAAUCUCUGAGGAAUGAAAAUGAUGCAACACUCCCAUGGUGGUUGUUUCUAAUGGCUGGAAAAAUGUAUUACUGGACUUUGUGAAUUGCUAUACUCAGUAAGCAGCAAACACAAUUAAAGCCAGAAUAUACUGUAUCACAACAUGUACUAAAUUAAUUUAUCUUGACAAGUUUCAUUUAGUUUAAAUAAUUCAUAGUGUACUUUUAUUAAAAUGUGAAAGGAAAACUAAUGAAUUCUUGGUUGUAUGGUAUCUUACUGUAAGGCUCUUACAUUAUUAAAAUUAUAAAUGUAAUCACUUGAAACUUUGUUUUUUCAAUAAAAAAAAACAACUGUUAGAAGUGACUUUUUGGAAGGAAUGAUGGUAUGGGAAGAGCUGGGAUUAGAAGGGCCUGCUUUAAUGUGAUAUUGCCAGUUAUCUAUUAACCUGACUUAGUUCUUCAUACAAUUCAAAGCAAUUUGCAAGGGUACUUAGUGUUGUUUCCACCAUGCACAAACCACGGAAUAGAGAAGUGUAAAGGGGUGAAAGAACUUGCAUACAGCCACCCAGGA